rnacentral:rRNA from 1 species
UACGGAGGGUGCAAACGUUGCUCGGAAUUAUUGGGCGUAAAGCGCACGUAGGCGGCGCGUUAAGUCGGAUGUGAAAGCCCUCGGCUCAACCGAGGAAGUGCAUUCGAAACUGGCGUGCUUGAAUAUGGAAGAGGGUCGCGGAAUUCCCGGUGUAGAGGUGAAAUUCGUAGAUAUCGGGAGGAACACCAGUGGCGAAGGCGGCGACCUGGGCCAAUAUUGACGCUGAGGAGCGAAAGCCAGGGGAGCAAACGGG